GGGAAAUGUAGUCAGGUUGAGCUGGAGAUUCUGGGACAUUCAGCAUCAACAAAUUAUCUCAGCAUCAAAAUUAAAAUACAAUGAGAAAAGAAGAGGAAACGGAAGAAAGAGAUGCUGAAUACCAAAAACCAUGCAACUCGCAAGUAGCUUACCUGAGAAUCAAAUACAAGGCAAUUUGAUCCCAGAGCCACUGAACCUUUUUGAGAUGUGACACAGAUGCAUAGUUAUUCAGUAAAUCAUGCUUUGGGCCUUAUUAGGCAAAAAACAUGGUCCAUGGCUCAAACAAGUUUAACAUGAUGGGCUCACCAAGAAUGCCCUUGGUGAGAUCUCAUUUCAGAGGCAUUGAAUAGUUCUCUAAAUCAUUUUUUAAAGGAUAACAAUAAAAAUG
rnacentral:lncRNA from 1 species